AGGGAAAGAGGGAGGCAGGCCUAACACAUGCAAGUCGAACGGUAACAGGAAACAGCUUGCUGUUUCGCUGACGAGUGGCGGACGGGUGAGUAAUGUCUGGGAAACUGCCUGAUGGAGGGGGAUAACUACUGGAAACGGUAGCUAAUACCGCAUAACGUCGCAAGACCAAAGAGGGGGACCCUCGGGCCUCUUGCCAUCGGAUGUGCCCAGAUGGGAUUAGCUUGUUGGUGGGGUAACGGCUCACCAAGGCGACGAUCCCUAGCUGGUCUGAGAGGAUGACCAGCCACACUGGAACUGAGACACGGUCCAGACUCCUACGGGAGGCAGCAGUGGGGAAUAUUGCACAAUGGGCGCAAGCCUGAUGCAGCCAUGCCGCGUGUAUGAAGAAGGCCUUCGGGUUGUAAAGUACUUUCAGCGGGGAGGAAGGGAGUAAAGUUAAUACCUUUGCUCAUUGACGUUACCCGCAGGAGAAGCACCGGCUAACUCCGUG
rnacentral:rRNA from 1 species